AACUUAAGCAUAUCAAUAAGCGGAGGAAAAGAAACUAACAAGGAUUCCCCUAGUAACUGCGAGUGAAGCGGGAAAAGCUCAAAUUUAAAAUCUGGCGGUCUCUGGCCGUCCGAGUUGUAAUCUAGAGAAGUAAUGCCCGUGCUGGACCGUGUAUAAGUCUCCUGGGAUGGAGCGUCAUAGAGGGUGAGAAUCCCGUCUUUGACACGGACUACCAGUGCAUUGUGGUAUGCUCUCAAAGAGUCGAGUUGUUUGGGAAUGCAGCUCAAAAUGGGUGGUAAAUUCCAUCUAAAGCUAAAUAUUGGCGAGAGACCGAUAGCGAACAAGUACCGUGAGGGAAAGAUGAAAAGAACUUUGGAAAGAGAGUUAAACAGUACGUGAAAUUGCUGAAAGGGAAACGCUUGAAGUCAGUCGCGUUGGCCAGGGAUCAGCCUUGCUCUUGCAUGGUGUACUUUCUGGUUGACGGGUCAGCAUCAAUUUUGAUCGCUGGAAAAGGGCCUGGGGAAUGUGGCAGCUUCGGCUGUGUUAUAGCCCCUGGUCGCAUACAGCGGUUGGGAUUGAGGAACUCAGCACGCCGCAAGGCCGGGUUUCGACCACGUUCGUGCUUAGGAUGCUGGCAUAAUGGCUUUAAGCGACCCGUCUU
rnacentral:rRNA from 1 species